rnacentral:rRNA from 1 species
UGCAGUCGAGCGGUAGAGAGGUGCUUGCAUCUCUUGAGAGCGGCGGACGGGUGAGUAAUGCCUAGGAAUCUGCCUAGUGGUGGGGGAUAACGUUCGGAAACGGACGCUAAUACCGCAUACGUCCUACGGGAGAAAGCGGGGGAUCUUCGGACCUCGCGCCAUUAGAUGAGCCUAGGUCGGAUUAGCUAGUUGGUGAGGUAAUGGCUCACCAAGGCGACGAUCCGUAACUGGUCUGAGAGGAUGAUCAGUCACACUGGAACUGAGACACGGUCCAGACUCCUACGGGAGGCAGCAGUGGGGAAUAUUGGACAAUGGGCGAAAGCCUGAUCCAGCCAUGCCGCGUGUGUGAAGAAGGUCUUCGGAUUGUAAAGCACUUUAAGUUGGGAGGAAGGGUAGUAACCUAAUACGUUGCUGCUUUGACGUUACCGACAGAAUAAGCACCGGCUAACUUCGUGCCAGCAGCCGCGGUAAUACGAAGGGUGCAAGCGUUAAUCGGAAUUACUGGGCGUAAAGCGCGCGUAGGUGGUUCAGCAAGUUGGAUGUGAAAGCCCUGGGCUCAACCUGGGAACUGCAUCCAAAACUACUGAGCUAGAGUACGGUAGAGGGUAGUGGAAUUUCCUGUGUAGCGGUGAAAUGCGUAGAUAUAGGAAGGAACACCAGUGGCGAAGGCGACUACCUGGACUGAUACUGACACUGAGGUGCGAAAGCGUGGGGAGCAAACAG